rnacentral:rRNA from 1 species
CCUACGGGAGGCUGCAGUGAGGAAUAUUGGUCAAUGGACGAGAGUCUGAACCAGCCAAGUAGCGUGAAGGAUGACUGCCCUAUGGGUUGUAAACUUCUUUUAUAUGGGAAUAAAAUGUUCCACGUGUGGGAUUUUGUAUGUACCAUAUGAAUAAGGAUCGGCUAACUCCGUGCCAGCAGCCGCGGUAAUACGGAGGAUCUGAGCGUUAUCCGGAUUUAUUGGGUUUAAAGGGAGCGUAGGUGGAUUGUUAAGUCAGUUGUGAAAGUUUGCGGCUCAACCGUAAAAUUGCAGUUGAAACUGGCAGUCUUGAGUACAGUAGAGGUGGGCGGAAUUCGUGGUGUAGCGGUGAAAUGCUUAGAUAUCACGAAGAACUCCGAUUGCGAAGGCAGUUCACUGGACUGCAACUGACACUGAGGCUCGAAAGUGUGGGUAUCAAACAGGAUUAGAUACCCGAGUAGUC